AACACACACUGUAAAAAAUUUCUGUAAAUUUACAUGAAAAUUCAACAGCAAAAUGCUGUUUUCGUGUAAUAACAGUAAGUUGCUGUUUUUUACAGUGCAUUGUGGGUAGACUUGCUCACUUCAGGUCGGUUGUCGAGCAACAACAGAAUGUCACUGUUAUUUAACAGUAUUAUAGCAUAUUUUUCGUUGUGCACGCCAUUUUGGAUUGUCUGCAUGAGGUAGGUCUGCAACUUUAUCGAUGCUUGUGCUAUUUUAAAAUUACAUAUUACUUUUGAAUAUUGCGUUUUAUCCAGUGAAGCUUUAAAACAACAAAAUCAGAUUCCAUUUCCUAUUUUAAUCAGGCAAAGGGGGUAUUCUACCAUCACAUCAGUUACACUCACAUCAGAUCACAGGGUUAUUUUGGUGCUUUGGUGCUAUUUUGGUCCCUAUUCCCUGCAUUGUAUAGACAAACAAAUAUUGCAUAUAUUAUUAAGAUGUGUGCCACUCCUGCUGACUUUGAGGAGACUAGUAACUUGUGACACCUCGUUUGAUCCUGUUUGCAUCUUUGGCUAUAUUCAUGGCGAGUACUGGUUAAUCCAUAUACAAGUUUUUAUUUACACAAGUCAAUCCAGACACUGGUUGGGGUAGAGACAAUUUGGCAUCUGUGAGUACCUAGCUGGGGCUCGAACCAGGGAUCUUCUUGCUGUGCCUUUUACUAUCAGGAGAACAUCAAGCUUUAUGUGCCUCAUUCUGGAGGCCACCGUAUUUUAAACAUGUUUAAUGUGUGACAAACUGCCAGUGCUUGCAUAUUCUUCUCACUGCCUUUUCUACACUUAGCUCUCCAGAUAUUAAGGAUUAUACAUUAAUCUAUACAUUCAUUUGGUCCAGGUGAUACUUGGGACAAUGGAUUAAACAAUGGAUGAUCAGCCUGAAAGCCAAAAGAAUCUGCAAGGGUGUUCAGCCAAUGUGUCUCACUGGACUUACUGCAUUGUGUAUUACAUCUCAACUUGCAAAAGUGAAAGCAGCAUCCACACUGGAAGUCCUUCAAAGACGCUUCAUUAAUCAAACCAGAAAAGGGAACCAAGGCUGCAAAGGGAAAAGUGACCUCUAAAACAAGAAAACUGCAAAAGAAGACCAUCAACAGUCAGUCUCAAACUAUCAAAUCUUUUAAAAAGACUUAUGGACUUGGUACUUCAUUUAAAAUGUAGCUGACACUUCCCACCAAUACAGCUUUUUUUUAAAUAUGGUGGGCUGCAGCCUGCAGUGAUGGCAGGUGACUUCUCUGAGGGGGCACGAAUGCAAAGCUAGCCAAAACAUUGUCAUGUGUGUGGCUCCUCAUUUCAAAAUGUGUGUUCGGCGCGUCAUGUGAACUUGUGCAUCGCGUGUCAUUCCAAAAUACGUGCCUGCUCCAGACACUUUGAAGGGGAUUAUGAUAAAAUGCUCGCUUUUGCAGAUAAUCUCAUGUGUAAACAGAGUUUAGUGUUAAAUGAGUGUCUUGCGAAUCAUGUGUCAUGUGAAUGUCUCUUUUAUUCUUUAUCAUAUUCAAAGCGUUUGUGGCAGGCAUGUAUUUUGACAUGAUGUGCGAUGCAUAUAAUUCACAUUACACCCCGAACACAUAUUUUGCAUUCAGGCAACCACUGGUGGGGUGGUGUUUUUUAUACUGGUUUGUAUAUUAUAGACCAUGUUUUCAUAUUUAAAAUUGGGCUGGUGUCUGUUAAAGAAUUAGUGAAUUAAGGUUUUAUUGAAUUCUUCUAAAAAUGUGGUGUUUUUACAGUUGUGAAACUUUUGUGCUUUUUUGAAAUCUAAAUUUUAAACUACAUUUGUAUUUUAAGUAAAAUAUUGUUCUUUGUUUGUUUGAUUUUUUUUUUAAUUUUUGUAUUUUAGUAUGUUAUUGGUGCCUUUUUGUUGCACCACAGUUUAUGCAGUGAAUAUUAAAAUAUAUCUGCUUGUAUUUCUGCCUGUUUUAUGGCAUAACACAGUCAAUCUGGGGUUGAAUAGAAUAAAGAAUAAAAAAUGCAUAACCUGGCCUUUUUUGUUUUAUGUUAACCACUUUGACAAAUUUAAAAUGCAGGGUAUAAUAGCAUUUAAAUAAAAAAAUUAUGAAGUUGUGACUGUAAAUGAACAGGUAUAUGAUGCUAAAUAACAGUUUUAUGCUGUAGAUAACAAAAACAGUAUCAUGCUAUUAAAUAACAGCUGUAUUCUAUAGAUAACACAAACAGUACCAUGCUGUUAAAAUAACAGUUGACUGCUGUAGGUAACAAAACGGUAUCAUGAUGUUUUUCCUAAUAACAGCAUCCCGCUGUAAAUUAACAGUGCAAUGCUGGCAACCACAGCUUCCAGCAUAAUACCGUUUUUUUACAGGGAAAUUUUUUAC